CCCCCCCCGCCUCCCCCCAGCGCUGAGGGGAUCUGAGGGGGGCGGCCGCCAUGAGGCGGGAGGCGCUGAGGGGAGCGGGGCAGGGGGUGCUGCUGAGGGGCCCGGAGGCGAAAAAAAGGGCGAAGCGGUUUAAAUGAAUAAAAAUAAUAAUCACAAUUAACGGGAGACGGCCGCCGAGCCCUCAGGCUGCGGCUGAGGGGACGAAGGGGGGCUCCGGAGCUUCGGGACCCUCGGAGUGGGGCUGUGGGAUCCAGCCUGAGGGCCCGGAGGGCUCCGGGACCCCCUCCCCCGGGCACCCACGUGAUGGGCCUCAGCCCCGAGCGAUGGCUGGCUUUGGAAAAACGGGAGAGGUUUAAAAUCUUGAAUGUCUUGGGUGCUUUUUCCCUUUCCUUGAGUGAGGAAAAUGUGGUGCAGCUUCAACUAAAUACCAGAAGUCAUACCCUACACGUGGGAUGUGCGUCCGCACAGUUAUUUGCUCAGAGUAAUAAAGCAGGGGCUCACCCUGUGGCAAACAGCUGCGCUCAGGAUAGCCGACAGAUUUGCAGACAGCAGAAAGUGUCUCUGAAGAUGUGCUCCUUGUGCCCUGCUUCUGAGCUUUCGCUUGUGCGUCUUCUGCAGCCGCACACCACAGGGACAGAAGGAAACUACUACAAUCAAGGAGAGAUUCGUAAGAAAGAACUGGAACAGAGUUGUUCUCUUUUGGGAAUUCCUGCUUCCAAUGUAACAGUUGUUGAUCACAGGUACCUGCAUUCAGAGCAGAAGUUACCUGAAGGGUGCCGUGUGCUUGUACUUGAGUCAGUAAAUCUGUUCCGAAAGUACCUCUCGGUCCUGGAUGUCCCCCUGUCCUGCCUCCUGCCCAGCGAUGCACUCUUCAUACUCACAGAGGAGGAGACUGAGCAAGCCAGGAGAGCCAUGCGGUGUCAUCGCAGCCAGCUGCUCUGGUUUCGCCGUGUCUAUAUGCUUUUCUCGCGUUAUAUGGUGAUCAAUUCACUCCGUCUUCUGUAAAAGACGACGCUCACAACUUCAAGAGUGAAAGAAUGAGCCAAAAAAGACUGUGCCAGUGGUUACUGGAGGAAACUCAACUGUUACAUACUCAAGAGGACAGGAUUCUCUCUAUGUAGCAUUCUUUCAGACUACAAAAAACAGUUUGUAUAAACUUUCUCCUGAAUAUCUUGUCGCCUGAUACAUUGAGAUGAAGCGGGUUUAACAGCUGCUCUAUUUUCUCACUGCAGAAGCUUAAAUAGGAUAAGAAAUUUGAAUUAACCUAGUUAAGAGUCAAACGCAGGAGUAUUCUGCAUUAGAGAAGAUAUAGCGCACACAGUUUUUCCCCAGGAAGAUACAGCUGCAAAGAUGGCUGGGAACUUUUCCUCUUGGUGCUUUUGUAAAGUCCAAAUAUCAGGAGAGACUUCUGUAUCAUGCUAUCUCCACUGAUAAAACCAGAACCACAAGACCUGUCUUACUCAGUCAGAACUUCAAAAAGCCAAAGCUUAUGAAUAAAGCAUCAGAAAUUACUCAAUUUUCUCUAAUUGCACUCAUAAAGCUGCUACUGCUUCUUUCAGACACACUGUGUUGCAGGUUCUUCCUUCCCAGAGUUUCCCUCACAAAACAUGAGCAUUUCUUCUUGCUUCAGAACAUGGGGCUUGAGAUCAACUCAGAAAAGUCUCAACACGAUGUAAGAAUGAGUUGCAAGAGACCUUUUGUAGAACAUAUAUGGAGAUAUAAAAAUUGCAAGAGAUGUUUCAAAAGCAGUUCAACUUACCUAAAAGACAACUGCAAGAUCCUCUCCCUUCAUGUUAAAAGGAGGCAUCUUCCAUGCAUCUGCACUGCUAGUCAUUGCAUAGUCAAGAUUAGAGCCCAGAUUGCAGAUCCUGAUCUGUUGCUGUGAGCGCAUCCCCCUCCUCCUGCUGAAGACAACAGCUGUAAAAGAAAGAGAAGACCUUUCUAGAAGCAGCAGACAAGUUGUAGUGCAGCAAUCAGAUCUAGCUCAGACCUCUUGACAACUGAAAUUCCACUGACAGCUAAAACGGCUCCUUGUUGGCAUCAGAGGAUGCUUCUCUGCUAUACUGCUGAAAAUCCUCACCCCAGAAACCACAUGCUCAAGCAGCUCAGACACAGCAGAGAGAAUGGGAACAAAGAGAGCUCCUUCAACUGCAGUGCAGUUUGGAUCGGAUCCAAGAGACUCAUAAGCAGGAGAUAGACUGCAAAGACGCAGACACGUAAUUUUUAGAAUAGACCUAGUUAUUGUUGCUUUCACUGGCAUAACGUGCAGGCACAAACCUGUGAUUUUAGGCUGAUGAUGUAUUUAUAAGAUGCCCUUCAAAAGUCUCCUUACAUCAGAAGCAUGUGAAUUGACACGUUUCCCUGGGUUAUUUAGACCUACAGAGAAGGACGCGCCCAAACAUGUUCAUGGUGGCAGCACAGAUCUGAAAGCAAAGCUGUAUCCAUGUGUCUUGCAGUCAAACUAUGCUUUAAACAAAGAAACAAAUUAGUAUUGCCCAUUUCCCCUGUUUUAUUACAAAUGUAGCUAUUUGUUUUUCUUAAGUUUUCAGCUCCUGAAGUUGGUAGCUUGUUAAGGAUUUUGUUUAUUAAGGUAUUUUUAGCAUAAGGCUUAAAAAAAACAAAACUCGGAGAGUUGUCUUUUUUUGGUAAUCUCAAUAUUACAGUCAAUCUUACC